CCUGAACGCUGGCGGCGUGGCUAAGACAUGCAAGUCGCACGGGCCUCGCAAGAGGUCAGUGGCGAACGGGUGAGUAAAGAAUCGCUAACGUACCCCGGACUCUGGGAUAGCUACCCGAAAGGGUGGGUAAUACCAGAUGAUAUAACUUUCCUGCAUGGGAGAGUUCUCAAAGGCCGCCGGCAACGGUGGAACGGUCUGGGAGCGGGCGAUUUCGUAUCAGCUAGUUGGUGAGGUAACGGCUCACCAAGGCGACGACGCGUAGCCGGACUGAGAGGUUGGCCGGCCACAUUGGGACUGAGACACUGCCCAGACUCCUACGGGGGCGUGCAGUGACGAAUCUUCCGCAAUGCACGCAAGUGUGACGGAGCGACGCCGCGUGUGGGACGAAGCCCUUCGGGGUGUAAACCACUGUCAGGGGACAGAAAGUUCUGAUCGUCCCCAGAGGAAGGCACGGCUAACUCUGUGCCAGCAG
rnacentral:rRNA from 1 species